CAGCCAGCGGUGCCACCAGCAGGGGUGUCAAUACAGGGCCGCCCUCGGCCGCAGCCAAUCUCGGGAACCCCUCCACCAGAAAUGGAACGGUGUGACAGCAAGACCAUACAGCAGACUUGCUCCCUUUUUGGCCUAGAUUUGGAGAGACCACCUCCUGUGCCACCCAGCCGUUCCAUACACCGUGAGUGGCAACACCAAGCUGGGCUACCCCCAGACCCGAGUGAUGAAGAUGAACUACCCCGAAGAGUCUACGGGUGAAGUCAAACUGCCUAAAAGUGAAACCGUGGUAGUUGUGGGCGCCUCGCCACGGCGUGGUCACCUGCUCGUUGAAUACAAGGGGCAGACGUACCAUGUGCCAUACCAGUUCCUCGAGCUCAAGCCAUCACAUCCUAGCAAUCCAGGCAGCA